rnacentral:rRNA from 1 species
UACAGAGGGUGCGAGCGUUGUUCGGAAUUAUUGGGCGUAAAGGGCGCGUAGGCGGUGCGGUAAGUCACCUGUGAAAUCUCCUGGCUCAACUGGGAGCUUGCAGGCGAAACUGCCGUGCUGGAGUGUGGGAGAGGUGCGUGGAAUUCCUGGUGUAGCGGUGAAAUGCGUAGAGAUUAGGAAGAACACCAGUGGCGAAGGCGACUUACUGGACUGUAACUGACGCUGAGGCAUGAAAGCGUGGGGAGCAAACAGG